GAUGAAGAACGUAGCGAAAUGCGAUAAGUAAUGUGAAUUGCAGAAUUCAGUGAAUCAUCGAAUCUUUGAACGCACCUUGCGCUCCUUGGUAUUCCGAGGAGCAUGCCUGUUUGAGUGUCAUGAAACUCUCAAACCCAAGUUUUGGAUUUCGAUCCAUGCUUGAGUUUGGAUUUGGAUGUUUGCCGGUGAUAAGCCGACUCAUCUUAAAAGUAUUAGCUAGAUCUGUCUCUAUGACUGGUUUGACUUGGCAUAAUAAGUAUUUUGCUGAGGACAUCUUCGGAUGGCCAGGACCUUGACUAUUGUCUGCUAACUAAACCAUUACCUUAAGUGCAUCUUUGGAUGUUACUCAUUGUAUAACUUUGACAUCUGGCCUCAAAUCAGGUAGGACUACCCGCUGAACUUAAGCAUAUCAAUAAGCGGAGGA
rnacentral:misc_RNA from 1 species